rnacentral:lncRNA from 10 species
UCUGUGAUGACACUGACGGUUUUGAGGAGUAACUGUCAGUUUCAGAUUUGCAAAGGGAGACGUGACAUCAAGUUUGGAAGAAAGCUGAAUUACUGGGACUAACAGAGUGAAAAGAAUAUGGACUUUCAAGGAGUGGACACUGCAGUUUCCAGCGUUCUGUGACCUGUAAUAGUGCGACAGACUGAAUGCAGAAGCACAUAAACGAAUCCAGCUCUGUGAUUAAGCCAAGACAUUAAAGAGAUCUUCAAAAUGAAAACCAAUGCCACUUCUCUAAUAGACUUUUUUGUUUUGGAAAAUUUGUUUUUCCACGAAAGUAUUAUUUCUGUUACCAUAUAAUGGGUUAUUCUUUUUAAAUAAAUUAAUAUUUUUUAAAUGUCUUAGCUUUAAUUUCAAAGGUGGUAAAUAUCAGUAUGUAUUACAUGUAUGUAUUAUCUCUAACCCACAUAAGAGCUCUCUGGGGUCCUCAAUAAUUCUUAAGAGGGUAAAGGAGUCUCGAGACCAAAACUUCAGGAACCCUAAUACAGCCAUUCCAAACCUAACAAGGAAAAUAGUUUUACUUCGAGUUUCAUGUUCAUGGUGAAGUCAAGAAGAGAACGUGGUAACCUGGUUUGAUGGAGGGAGAUGAUGAGUUCGGCGUCAGUCUUUCCCAAUACCUUGCAAAAUGUUCAUGAAUUCCUGCACCCCACCCUCUGCAUUCAUCACCUCGCCUGCGCUUCUUCCCAGCCUUCCUUAGGUCUCCCAGAGCAGUGUCCACAUCCCUUUCUUUUGCAUUUUAAGUCCUCUGGAUGACUGCCCC